rnacentral:rRNA from 1 species
CCUACGGGAGGCAGCAGUGAGGAAUAUUGGUCAAUGGACGCAAGUCUGAACCAGCCAUGCCGCGUGCAGGAAGACGGCUCUAUGAGUUGUAAACUGCUUUUGUACGAGGGUAAACGCAGAUACGCGUAUCUGUCUGAAAGUAUCGUACGAAUAAGGAUCGGCUAACUCCGUGCCAGCAGCCGCGGUAAUACGGAGGAUUCAAGCGUUAUCCGGAUUUAUUGGGUUUAAAGGGUGCGUAGGCGGUCGGAUAAGUUAGAGGUGAAAUCCCGAGGCUCAACUUCGUAAUUGCCUCUGAUACUGUGCGGCUAGAGAGUAGUUGCAGUAGGCGGAAUGUAUGGUGUAGCGGUGAAAUGCUUAGAGAUCAUACAGAACACCGAUUGCGAAGGCAGCUUACCAAGCUACUUCUGACGUUGAGGCACGAAAGCGUGGGGAGCAAACAGGAUUAGAUACCCCUGUAGUC